AACGAACGCUGGCGGCAUGCCUAACACAUGCAAGUCGAACGAGACCUUCGGGUCUAGUGGCGCACGGGUGCGUAACGCGUGGGAACCUGCCCUUAGGUUCGGAAUAACUCCCCGAAAGGGGUGCUAAUACCGGAUAAUGUCUUCGGACCAAAGAUUUAUCGCCUUUGGAUGGGCCCGCGUUGAAUUCGCUAGUUGGUAGGGUAAAAGCCUACCAAGGCGACGAUCCAUAGCUGGUCUGAGAGGAUGAUCAGCCACACUGGGACUGAGACACGGCCGAGACUCCUACGGGAGGCGGCAGUGGGGAAUAUUGGACAAUGGACGAAAGCCUGAUCCAGCCAGGCCGCGUGAGUGAUGAAGGCCUUAGUGUUGUAAAGCUCUUUUACCCGGGAUGAUACUGACAGUACCGGGAGAAUAAGCUCCGGCUAACUCCGUG
rnacentral:rRNA from 1 species